rnacentral:rRNA from 1 species
UACGGAGGGUGCGAGCGUUGUCCGGAAUCAUUGGGCGUAAAGGGCGCGUAGGUGGCGGGACAAGCGUGCGGUGAAAGCCUGGGGCUCAACCCCGGGUCGGCCGUGCGAACUGUUUUGCUUGAGCACUGUAGAGGCAGGCGGAAUUCCGGGUGUAGCGGUGGAAUGCGUAGAGAUCCGGAAGAACACCGGAGGCGAAGGCGGCUUGCUGGACCUGGUCUGACGCUGAGGCGCGAAAGCGUGGGGAGCGAACAGG